UACACACCGCCCGUCACACCAUGGAGUGGUUCACAGAAGCCGGUCGCCUAACCGCGAAGGAGGGCGCCGACCACGGUGAGAUUCAUGACUGGGGUG
rnacentral:rRNA from 1 species